GCUUCAUUCAAAUAUCUGCCCUAUCAACUUUCGAUGGUAGGAUAGAGGCCGACCAUGGUUUCAACGGGUAACGGGGAAUAAGGGUUCGAUUCCGGAGAGGGAGCCUGAGAAACGGCUACCACAUCCAAGGAAGGCAGAGGCGCGCAAAUUACCCAAUCCCGACCGGGGAGGUAGUGACAAUAAAUAACAAUAUAGGGCUCUUUCGGGUCUUAUAAUUGGAAUGAGAACAAUUUAAAUCCCUUAACGAGGAACAAUUGGAGGGCAAGUCUGGUGCCAGCAGCCGGGUAAUUCCAGCUCCAAUAGCGUAUAUUAAAGUAGUUGCAGUUAAAAAGCUCGUAGUUG
rnacentral:rRNA from 1 species